rnacentral:rRNA from 1 species
UACAGAGGUCUCAAGCGUUGUUCGGAUUCAUUGGGCGUAAAGGGUGCGUAGGUGGCGCGGUAAGUCGGGUGUGAAAUCUCGGAGCUUAACUCCGAAAUUGCAUUCGAUACUGCCGUGCUCGAGGACUGGAGAGGAGACUGGAAUUCAUGGUGUAGCAGUGAAAUGCGUAGAGAUCAUGAGGAAGACCAGUGGCGAAAGGCGGGGUCUCUGGACAGUUCCUGACACUGAGGCACGAAGGCCAGGGGAGCAAACGGGG